GGUACUGUGGCUCAAGUGGUAGAGCGCUAGCCUUGCAUGCAUGAGGCCCUGGGUUCGAUUCCUCAGCACCA
rnacentral:tRNA from 1 species